GCCAGGUGCAGUGGUGCAUGCCUGUAAUCUUAGCGGCUCAGAGGCUGAGACAGGAGGAUUAGGGCUUCAAAGCCAGCUUCAGCAAUAGCGAGGCCGCAACUCAGUGAGAUCCUGUCUUUA
rnacentral:sRNA from 1 species